AUCUAGCUGACCAGUCCCAAAAUAGGACAAAACGAGUCUCCUAGAU
rnacentral:hammerhead_ribozyme from 1 species